rnacentral:rRNA from 1 species
GGGUUGUGAGGUUAAGCGACUAAGCGUACACGGUGGAUGCCCUGGCAGUCAGAGGCGAUGAAGGACGUGCUAAUCUGCGAUAAGCGUCGGUAAGGUGAUAUGAACCGUUAUAACCGGCGAUUUCCGAAUGGGGAAACCCAGUGUGUUUCGACACACUAUCAUUAACUGAAUCCAUAGGUUAAUGAGGCGAACCGGGGGAACUGAAACAUCUAAGUACCCCGAGGAAAAGAAAUCAACCGAGAUUCCCCCAGUAGCGGCGAGCGAACGGGGAGGAGCCCAGAGCCUGAAUCAGUGUGUGUGUUAGUGGAAGCGUCUGGAAAGGCGCGCGAUACAGGGUGACAGCCCCGUACACAAAAAUGCACAUGCUGUGAGCUCGAUGAGUAGGGCGGGACACGUGGUAUCCUGUCUGAAUAUGGGGGGACCAUCCUCCAAGGCUAAAUACUCCUGACUGACCGAUAGUGAACCAGUACCGUGAGGGAAAGGCGAAAAGAACCCCGGCGAGGGGAGUGAAAAAGAACCUGAAACCGUGUACGUACAAGCAGUGGGAGCACGCUUAGGCGUGUGACUGCGUACCUUUUGUAUAAUGGGUCAGCGACUUAUAUUCUGUAGCAAGGUUAACCGAAUAGGGGAGCCGAAGGGAAACCGAGUCUUAACUGGGCGUUAAGUUGCAGGGUAUAGACCCGAAACCCGGUGAUCUAGCCAUGGGCAGGUUGAAGGUUGGGUAACACUAACUGGAGGACCGAACCGACUAAUGUUGAAAAAUUAGCGGAUGACUUGUGGCUGGGGGUGAAAGGCCAAUCAAACCGGGAGAUAGCUGGUUCUCCCCGAAAGCUAUUUAGGUAGCGCCUCGUGAAUUCAUCUCCGGGGGUAGAGCACUGUUUCGGCAAGGGGGUCAUCCCGACUUACCAACCCGAUGCAAACUGCGAAUACCGGAGAAUGUUAUCACGGGAGACACACGGCGGGUGCUAACGUCCGUCGUGAAGAGGGAAACAACCCAGACCGCCAGCUAAGGUCCCAAAGUCAUGGUUAAGUGGGAAACGAUGUGGGAAGGCCCAGACAGCCAGGAUGUUGGCUUAGAAGCAGCCAUCAUUUAAAGAAAGCGUAAUAGCUCACUGGUCGAGUCGGCCUGCGCGGAAGAUGUAACGGGGCUAAACCAUGCACCGAAGCUGCGGCAGCGACGCUUAUGCGUUGUUGGGUAGGGGAGCGUUCUGUAAGCCUGUGAAGGUGUGCUGUGAGGCAUGCUGGAGGUAUCAGAAGUGCGAAUGCUGACAUAAGUAACGAUAAAGCGGGUGAAAAGCCCGCUCGCCGGAAGACCAAGGGUUCCUGUCCAACGUUAAUCGGGGCAGGGUGAGUCGACCCCUAAGGCGAGGCCGAAAGGCGUAGUCGAUGGGAAACAGGUUAAUAUUCCUGUACUUGGUGUUACUGCGAAGGGGGGACGGAGAAGGCUAUGUUGGCCGGGCGACGGUUGUCCCGGUUUAAGCGUGUAGGCUGGUUUUCCAGGCAAAUCCGGAAAAUCAAGGCUGAGGCGUGAUGACGAGGCACUACGGUGCUGAAGCAACAAAUGCCCUGCUUCCAGGAAAAGCCUCUAAGCAUCAGGUAACAUCAAAUCGUACCCCAAACCGACACAGGUGGUCAGGUAGAGAAUACCAAGGCGCUUGAGAGAACUCGGGUGAAGGAACUAGGCAAAAUGGUGCCGUAACUUCGGGAGAAGGCACGCUGAUAUGUAGGUGAAGUCCCUCGCGGAUGGAGCUGAAAUCAGUCGAAGAUACCAGCUGGCUGCAACUGUUUAUUAAAAACACAGCACUGUGCAAACACGAAAGUGGACGUAUACGGUGUGACGCCUGCCCGGUGCCGGAAGGUUAAUUGAUGGGGUCAGCGCAAGCGAAGCUCUUGAUCGAAGCCCCGGUAAACGGCGGCCGUAACUAUAACGGUCCUAAGGUAGCGAAAUUCCUUGUCGGGUAAGUUCCGACCUGCACGAAUGGCGUAAUGAUGGCCAGGCUGUCUCCACCCGAGACUCAGUGAAAUUGAACUCGCUGUGAAGAUGCAGUGUACCCGCGGCAAGACGGAAAGACCCCGUGAACCUUUACUAUAGCUUGACACUGAACAUUGAGCCUUGAUGUGUAGGAUAGGUGGGAGGCUUUGAAGUGUGGACGCCAGUCUGCAUGGAGCCGACCUUGAAAUACCACCCUUUAAUGUUUGAUGUUCUAACGUUGACCCGUAAUCCGGGUUGCGGACAGUGUCUGGUGGGUAGUUUGACUGGGGCGGUCUCCUCCUAAAGAGUAACGGAGGAGCACGAAGGUUGGCUAAUCCUGGUCGGACAUCAGGAGGUUAGUGCAAUGGCAUAAGCCAGCUUGACUGCGAGCGUGACGGCGCGAGCAGGUGCGAAAGCAGGUCAUAGUGAUCCGGUGGUUCUGAAUGGAAGGGCCAUCGCUCAACGGAUAAAAGGUACUCCGGGGAUAACAGGCUGAUACCGCCCAAGAGUUCAUAUCGACGGCGGUGUUUGGCACCUCGAUGUCGGCUCAUCACAUCCUGGGGCUGAAGUAGGUCCCAAGGGUAUGGCUGUUCGCCAUUUAAAGUGGUACGCGAGCUGGGUUUAGAACGUCGUGAGACAGUUCGGUCCCUAUCUGCCGUGGGCGCUGGAGAACUGAGGGGGGCUGCUCCUAGUACGAGAGGACCGGAGUGGACGCAUCACUGGUGUUCGGGUUGUCAUGCCAAUGGCACUGCCCGGUAGCUAAAUGCGGAAGAGAUAAGUGCUGAAAGCAUCUAAGCACGAAACUUGCCCCGAGAUGAGUUCUCCCUGACUCCUUGAGAGUCCUGAAGGAACGUUGAAGACGACGACGUUGAUAGGCCGGGUGUGUAAGCGCAGCGAUGCGUUGAGCUAACCGGUACUAAUGAACCGUGAGGCUUAACCUUACAACGCCGAAG